rnacentral:rRNA from 1 species
ACGAACGCUGGCGGCAUGCCUAACACAUGCAAGUCGAACGAGACCUUCGGGUCUAGUGGCGCACGGGUGCGUAACGCGUGGGAACCUGCCCCUAGGUUCGGAAUAACUCCCCGAAAGGGGUGCUAAUACCGGAUAAUGUCUUCGGACCAAAGAUUUAUCGCCUUUGGAUGGGCCCGCGUUGGAUUAGCUAGUUGGUAGGGUAAAAGCCUACCAAGGCGACGAUCCAUAGCUGGUCGGAGAGGAUGAUCAGCCACACAGGGACUGAGACACGGCCCAGACUCCUACGGGAGGGAGCAGUGGGGAAUAUUGGACGAGGGGCGAAAGCCUGAUCCAGCAAUGCCGCGUGAGUGAUGAAGGCCUUAGGGUUGUAAAGCUCUUUUACCCGGGAUGAUAAUGACAGUACCGGGAGAAUAAGCUCCGGCUAACUCCGUG